CCUACGGGAGGCAGCAGUGGGGGAUAUUGCACAAUGGGGGAAACCCUGAUGCAGCGACGCCGCGUGGGUGAAGAAGCGCCUCGCCGCGUAAAGCCCUCUCAGCAGGGAAGAAAAUGACGGUACCUGAAGAAGAAGCCCCGGCUAACUACGUGCCAGCAGCCGCGGUAAUACGUAGGGGGCAAGCGUUAUCCGGAUUUACUGGGUGUAAAGGGGGCGCAGACGGCGAUGCAAGCCAGGAGUGAAAGCCCGGGGCCCAACCCCGGGACUGCUCUUGGUACUGCGUGGCUAGAGAGCAGGACGGGCAG
rnacentral:rRNA from 1 species